UCCCCCGUUGCUAAAAUUAGGGUUCCCGAUCCCGACCUCGGAGUUCACAUCCUCCGAUUUCUCCUCUUUCAUGUUCCGGUCGUUGUAUCGAAGGCACGAGGCAAUGGCUACUCCCUCUCUGCGCAUGCGAUCGAAGGCAUGGAAGCGCUUGUAGGAGAUCGAUAAAAAGGUGCAAAGCUGAAUGCACUGCUCAUCCUCAAAAUCUAGCAUUGUUGGGAGCCCUUGUGCAGCAAGUCACCCCAUUAUGCAAUAGAUGAAGUUGGUAUGGUGAUUUAGGUGAUCAAGUUUUUCAUGUUUUAUUGAUUUUAUUCAUCUAUAAGUCCAGCAUAUUCUGAAUGUGGUAUUUUACUUCCAAGUUUAUAUAUCACAAUAUUUACA